CAGCCGCCACGGGAAUACGUAGGUGGCGAGCGUUGUCCGGAAUUAUUGGGCGUAAAGGGAGCGCAGGCGGACAUAUAAGUCCAUCUUAAAAGUGCGGGGCUCAACCCCGUGAGGGGAUGGAAACUGUAUGCCUUGAGUGCAGGAGAGGAAAGCGGAAUUCCCAGUGUAGCGGUGAAAUGCGUAGAUAUUGGGAGGAACACCAGUGGCGAAGGCGGCUUUCUGGACUGUAACUGACGCUGAGGCUCGAAAGCCAGGGGAGCGAACGGGAUUAGAUACCCCUGUAGUCCCUGUCUCUUAUACA
rnacentral:rRNA from 1 species